UCUCGGAGAAUCUACUCUCAGAUCUUCAUUCACACUGAGGUGUUGAUGACUGGUUACUGUCCAACACAGCUAUCCUCAUUAGAGUGUGAGGUGCCAUUUCUGUUUGCAGGAAGGAAAGUGGAGCUGGGCCCAUUCCUGGGAGCCACUGACCAUGAACUUUGAGAUGUUCUUCUAGGCUGGAGAGAAGUUGCUGCAUGAGGAAGAAGAAUAUCUAUUUCUCCACCACCAUGGUUUGCCCUAAAGGAAGAAAACUCCACAGCCCACCACAGGAAGCAGAGGAGUAGGUUUUAAGUCCAAGGGAAGAAAACAAUCAUGAUUCUGUAUCUCUACACAUGGAUGGACAGCAGCUCACACUCUCCAAUCAAUAAAGAAUCUAUGAAAAUCUGAAUUUUCAUAGGGUCUGGUGAAAUGAAUUUGGCCGGGCUCAAGAUACACCACCCCCAAAUAUGGCACCUUGGUAUUCUGAAUAUUUUAAGCUGAAGAAAAAAGAAUGAAAAUAAAUACAAAGAGCAUCAGUGGGGUUUAGGACAACUUUGAGCAACCCAAUAUAUUUAUAGUUGCGAUCUCUGAAAGGGGGUGGGGGGGGACACAAAAAUCUAUUUAAAGAAAUAAUGACAGAAAAACUUCCAACUUGAUGAAACUAUAAACCCACAGAUCCAAAAAACCUAAUAAACCCCCAAUACAAGAAACAUGAAGAAAGCUACAUCUAGAAUGUUUUGAGUUGAGUAAAUAUGCAUUAUUUAUCCUAUAUAUGUAAGGCUGGACAUAAAUUUUAAAUUAAGGGAAAAAAAUCUGUCCUCCACUAGCUAAGAAAACCUUAGUAGCCCCUUGACUGUCUUCCUGGGUAUCAUGGAGGACUCAAGAAAAUUCAAAACAGUUUCUGUCUUCAAGUAGGUUUUAAGCUACCUGGGUGCAUUAAUGUGGGAAACACCAUUCCUCAACUCCACAAUAUCCAUUCUCUCUUCCUCCAUUGCUGGCAGACACCCCCUGGUUGUGUCCAAACAUCUACCUCUUUUCCACACAACUCCAGAAGGAAAGACCCAUCUGCAGACCCGGGAGUAAAAGAGGGUCUGAUUCCCCUUGACAGUAAUUGACACGAGGGUGGCUAUCUGACCCAUUUCUGGCUAAGAGAAAGAUUCUUGGCUUCCAAGCAAGGUAAGAGGAAAAGACGAUCUCUUUGUUCUUUGGACUCUGAAAUGCCUGACACCUGGAACUUCUGUACUCAAUUUGUGACUAAGCUGGGCCAGUCUGAGGUCAGAGUCAACAACAUCUUGAGGACGACAGAACAGUGGAAAGAAUAUGGAUCUUUGAUGAUGUUACUGAGCUGCUGAAUUAAGCAACUCUGAAGCUUCCAUACCAGUGAACUUCUUGUAUGACAUAGUACAUUUCCUUACUGUUGAAUUCAAAUUAAGUUUUAUGUUCCUUGUAGCUCCAAAUACUCUGUUAGCACUAACUAAAUACAUGACUCAUUCUGCCAUGGUAAGUGAAGGACAUAGACAAAACAAAUUCUACAGUUACUUUUGGCCCUAACCAGCCCACCUUAAAUGUAACUGAUUAAUCUAGGCAGUCAGUAAUAACUGUCAUGUGUGUGAUUCAGAAAAUAGGUGCUCCAUGACUCAGCAUUCAUCUUCCAGGGAUAGACUCAAGAGAAACCAGUGCAUAUAUCCACCAAAAGACAUACAAAUAGGUGCACAGAAACUUCAUUCAUCGUAGCUCAAGUCUGGAAACCCCACAUCCGGAUUCGCCAGAGAAACAGAAUGACGAGGUUCUAUACAUACAUAUAUUAAGAAAUUGAAGGGGUGUCUGGGUGGCUCAGUUGGUUAAGCAUUUGCCUUCA